rnacentral:rRNA from 1 species
CGGUAAUACCCGAUAAUCCCUCUUGGGCAAAGGCUUGCUGCCCCGGGAUCGGGCAACGCCCUAUCAGCUUGUUGGUGAGGUAACAGCCUACCAAGCCUUAGACGCCUAGCGGGUGUGAGAGCAUGACCCGCCGCAUCGGAACUGAGACACUGUCCGGACUCCUACGGGAGGCUGCAGUAACGAAUCUUCCGCAAUGAGCGAAAGCUUGACGGAGCAAUGCCGCGUGUAGGAUGAAGCCUUUCGGGGUGUAAACUACUGUCAGGAACUAGGAAAUAAAUGACCAAUUCCAGGAAGGGCCGGCUAACUUCGUGCCAGCAGCCGCGGUAAUACGAAGGGCCCGAGCGUUGAUCGGAUUUACUGGGCUUAAAGAGUGCGUAGGCGGAUAUGUAAGUGUCCUGUGAAAUCCCACUGCUCAACGGUGGAACUGCGGGGCAAACUGCAUAUCUUGAGGUCGGUAGGGGCUGUCGGAACAAUAGGUGUAGCGGUGAAAUGCGUAGAUAUCUAUUGGAACGCCAAUGGCGAAGGCAGACAGCUGGGCCGAUUCUGACGCUGAGGCACGAAAGCGUGGGGAGCAAACAGGAUUAGAUACCCUGGUAGUCCACGCCGUAAACGAUGUGCACUAGGUCCGGGAGGUUCUGACACCAUCCGGGCCGAAGCAAAAGUAUUAAGUGCACCGCCUGGGGAGUACGGUCGCAAGGCUAAAACUCAAAGGAAUUGACGGGGGCUCACACAAGCGGUGGAGCAUGUGGCUUAAUUCGAAGCAACGCGAAGAACCUUAUCCAGGGUUUGACAUGUAUGGAUACCCUUCCUGAAAGGGAAGUAAGUUGCCCUCGUGGUGAAACGUGCACAGGUGCUGCAUGGCUGUCGUCAGCUCGUGCUGUGAAGUGUCGGGGUAAGUCCCUUAACGAGCGAAACCCCUAUCAUUAGUUGCCAGCGCGCCUUCGGGUGGCGGGGACUCUAAUGAGACUGCCGGUGUUAAACCGGAGGAAGGUGGGGAUGACGUCAAGUCCUCAUGGCCUUUAUGCCCAGGGCUGCACACGUGCUACAAUGGCGCGCACAGAGCGAAGCAAUACCGUAAGGUCGAGCAAAUCGCAAAAAACGCGCCCCAGUUCGGAUUGGAGUCUGCAACUCGACUCCAUGAAGCUGGAAUCGCUAGUAAUCGCGUAUCAGCCACGACGCGGUGAAUAUGUUCCUGAGCCUUGUACA